GACGUAGGGGGCGAGCGUUGUCCGGAUUUAUUGGGCGUAAAGCGCGCGUAGGCGGCUCGGAUAGUCGGAUGUGAAAACCCAGGGCUCAACCCUGGGCCUGCACCCGAUACUGCCGGGCUAGAGGCAGGUAGGGGAGAGUGGAAUUCCCGGUGUAGCGGUGAAAUGCGCAGAUAUCGGGAGGAACACCAGUGGCGAAGGCGGCUCUCUGGGCCAGUACUGACGCUCAGGCACGCAAGCUAGGGGAGCAAACAGG
rnacentral:rRNA from 1 species